rnacentral:rRNA from 1 species
UACGUAGGGUGCGAGCGUUGUCCGGAAUUAUUGGGCGUAAAGAGCUUGUAGGCGGUUUGUCGCGUCUGCUGUGAAAAUCCGGGGCUCAACCCCGGACUUGCAGUGGGUACGGGCAGACUAGAGUGUGGUAGGGGAGACUGGAAUUCCUGGUGUAGCGGUGAAAUGCGCAGAUAUCGGGAGGAACACCGGUGGCGAAGGCGGUUCUCUGGACCUUACCUGACGCUGAGGAGCGAAAGCGUGGGGAGCGAACAGG